rnacentral:rRNA from 1 species
AUACGUAGGGGGCGAGCGUUGUCCGGAAUGAUUGGGCGUAAAGGGCGCGUAGGCGGCCGCUUAAGUCUGGAGUGAAAGUCCUGUUUUCAAGAUGGGAAUUGCUUUGGAUACUGGGGGGCUUGAGUGCAGGAGAGGUUAUCGGAAUUCCCGGUGUAGCGGUGAAAUGCGUAGAGAUCGGGAGGAACACCAGUGGCGAAGGCGGGUAGCUGGACUGCAACUGACGCUGAGGCGCGAAAGUCAGGGGAGCAAACGGGAUUAGAUACCCCGGUAGUCCUGGCAGUAAACGAUGUAUGCUGGGUGUGAGACUAGCGAUAGUUUCGUGCCGAAGUUAACGCGAUAAGCAUACCGCCUGGGGAGUACGGUCGCAAGAUUGAAACUUAAAGGAAUUGACGGGG